rnacentral:rRNA from 1 species
AAGUCGUAACAAGGUUUCCGUAGGUGAACCUGCGGAAGGAUCAUUAUUGAAGUUGCUGAGGGGUUGCUGCUGGCUCUCCGGAGCAUUGUGCACACCCUUCUCGCUUUACCUUCAUCCACCUGUGCACACACUGUAGAUCUCGGAUACCUUUCGGCUGGAUUUAUCUGGCCGGCUAGGAUUGCUGCUCUUCACGGGGCUUCAAUCCGAUUUCCGGGUUCUAUGUCCUUCUCACAUACUCUAAGUAAUAUCAUAGAAUGUAUCAUGGGUCGUAUGACCUUUACAAUUAUAAUACAACUUUCAACAACGGAUCUCUUGGCUCUCGCAUCGAUGAAGAACGCAGCGAAAUGCGAUAAGUAAUGUGAAUUGCAGAUUUCAGUGAAUCAUCGAAUCUUUGAACGCACCUUGCGCUCCUUGGUAUUCCGAGGAGCAUGCCUGUUUGAGUGUCAUUAAAUUCUCAAUCUUCUUUGGAUUUUUUCAUUGGAGACUUGGAUGUGAGGGUUUGCCGGUUGUUCAAUCGGCUCCCUUUAAAUGUGUUAGCGUUGCCUCAGCCGAUCGAACGCCCCUCGGUAUGAUAAUUAUCUAUGCCGUGUCGGGGAUCGCACGAGAGUAUGCUUCUAACAGUCCCUCUUGGGGGACAUAUUCAUCAUAUCUUGACCUCAAAUCAGGUAGGACUACCCGCUGAACUUAAGCAUAUCAAUAAGCGGAGGAAAAGAAACUAACAAGGAUUCCCCUAGUAACUGCGAGUGAAGCGGGAAAAGCUCAAAUUUAAAAUCUGGCGGUCUACGGCCGUCCGAGUUGUAAUUUAGAGAAGCGUCAUCCGUGCUGGACCGUGUACAAGUCUCCUGGAACGGAGCGUCAUAGAGGGUGAGAAUCCCGUAUAUGACACGGACUACCAGUGCAUUGUGAUGCGCUCUCAAAGAGUCGAGUUGUUUGGGAAUGCAGCUCAAAAUGGGUGGUAAAUUCCAUCUAAAGCUAAAUAUAGGCGAGAGACCGAUAGCGAACAAGUGCCGUGAGGGAAAGAUGAGAAGAACUUUGGAAAGAGAGUUAAACAGUACGUGAAAUUGUUGAAAGGGAAACGCUUGAAGUCAGUCGCAUUGUUUGGGGAUCAACCUUGCUCUUUUGCAUGGGGUACUUCCCGUUCGAUGGGUCAGCAUCAGUUUUGACCGCUGGAAAAAGUUCAUGGGAAUGUGGCAUCUUCGGAUGUGUUAUAGCCUGUGUUCGUAUACGGCGGUUGGGACUGAGGAAUUCAGCACGCCGCAAGGCCGGGUGUUCGCA